rnacentral:sRNA from 21 species
UGAAAGUCCUGAACGGCAGCCAUGAAUGAGUCAUGCUUGCAUGAACGAAUUCAUGGAUAUCGGGCAGGCUAAACUGUAUGAGUAAGCAGGGCAAUCGCCCGGAUUACGAAUGCAGUUGGCAGUUACGUGAGUGCCAUAGGCACGGAGUAACUGACUUUCA